ACUUGAAUCAAGCUACUCCCAGCUUCUGCACACAUCUGGUCCAACACUACUUUGGGAUAUGUUUUGCUAAGGUUGCUGUUCUGCCUGGAAGGCCCUCAUUCCUCAGCUGCAUGACCCGAGGUUUCCUUCCUCUAAGACCUUGCUAGCGGCUCCUAGAUGCCUUCCAAACCAAAUUCUCUUCUAUGAGAUCAGCUCUUAGCUUUGUAUUCCCUGGCACUUAUGGAGUAUGUUAUGGAGAAAGACUGUCUAGUUGAAGGAAAACAAGCUCUGGGCUCCCACUGAUUCUACGUUAUGGGAUGCUACUUGCUUCUAACAUCAUGUUAAUCAGCAAUGUAAGCUCUGGCAUAGCUUACCAACCCUAAGAGUGGCAGGGAGUUGCUCUGUGUAAUGGUGGAGUACUCAGCUGUCUUCUCCAUGGUGGUUGAGUUCUCUGGAUGGGAUCAGCUUUCUUCACAUGUCACUGAAGUGAAAGGGGACAAUUGAAACCUAUUUUGACAGGUUUAAAAGCUAAAGCCAAGCCAGGAAGAGGAAGACAAGAUGAGAAACCCCAAAUCAAGGUAAGAGAAGAAAAUAAGUGCAACAUGCCAGAAAUCCAGUAAAGCAGUUCAAGUAUCAGAAGAGCGUGAAUCAAAACCAAGUGCAAGAAGAGGCACCUUGACAUUGAACUGAAGGCCACCAGUCUCCUGCCAGUGCUUCCAAUCGCUGAACUGAACUGGGAACAAAUCAACAAGGGAAACCAAGAGAUGCAUUCCUUGAAGUUCAGCCUCCAGGCCUCAAGUAAGGCAGAGGAAGAGAAUACAUAGAUCUGUGGAGAAGAGUGGUGAUGGUGGGAGCUGCCAAUAAAGAACUAUCAAAAAAGGAUGAUGCAACAGAAAAGCCGUCACCAGAUACCAGCACCUUAAUGUUGGACUUCUCAGCCUCCAGAACUGAGACCUCAAGGCACAAAGCAAAAGAAGAAUGAAUUUCAUCAUGGGAAUAUACAAAGCAAGGCAUUAACAUCUAUAGUUAAAUAAGUCAGCAUCAAACUUCUUGCUGUACCACCCACCAUUUCACACAGUUCAGCUAGCUGACUCGUUCAUACUUUAAGGCUAAUCAGAAUAAAUUAAUGAUUCAUCACUAAUAAAGAUGCAGAGUGUGUACCUUUAUUCUUCAGUAGGGUAACGUGACCCUUCUGAGUACUUCUGGAGCAAAUGUGUAUGAAGUGCUAGGUUUUUUGUCACUAAGUCUAUGUACUCAGAAAAGACACAAAUUUUCAGUAUUCUGGUUUACCACUUGCCAGGCAAAGGAAACUGUAAAUAAAUGUUUCACCACAUAUUUAUGUGAAAAAAAUUAAUUGGUGGAUGGGCUUUGUUGUGAUUCUUAAUAAUAAUGAAUCAUAGUUUUACACAUAUAGUAGGAUGAAGCAUUUGAGAUUUGAUUCUAGCAUUUCUGUCUAUGUGUUUAUAAUUUAUCCAAUGGAAGUAUUAAAAGAAAAGCUUUUUGGGAGGCCUUAUUUGAGUUCAGAAGUCUCACACGCACUUCUGUCAAGUGAUGUAAUAGGAAUGUGUUUAAGAUCAGCAGAUGAUAUAUUGAGUGUAAACAUAAUGUGCUCAUGAUGAAAGCCAAAACACUAAUUUAAUUGAUUGGAAGAAAACAGAAAUUCACCAGGAGUCAAAAUCCCAAAUAAGAGGUCCGUGUUUUCAAGGCUUAUUUUAAUAGUAUUAACUACUUCAACAAAUUAUUUUUCUUUGCUUUUUUCCAUUCACUUAAAAAUAUUUAAUGGUUUUAUUGAACUAUAUUUUACAUAUAAAAUUCGCCCGUUGAAAAUAUGCAACUUGAUGAUUUUUAGUAAAAUUUAGAAUUGUGCAAAUAUGAUAGAUUCCAUUUUAGAUAAUUUCUGUCAUUCUAAAAAGAUCUUUAAUGUCCAUUUUUAGUGAAAUCUGCUCCCACCCCCAGUCCCAGCAAACACUGAUAAAAUUUUCAUCUACUUAUUUUUGCUUUUCCUAGAAAUUUCAUAUAAAAAGUGUGGUUUGCAAAAUAAAAUCCCCUGCACUUGUGAAUGUUAUAUCACAUUGGAAAGGGGACUUCGCCAACGUAAAUUGCGUACAAAUGCGGAGAUUAUCCAGGACUAUCUGGAUGGGCCCAAUGUAAUCAAUUCAGCCCUUAAAAGCACAGAAACUUUCUCAGCUGGGUCAGAGAGAUACAAUAAUGGAAGAAGAGUCAGAGAGAUGCAAUGCAAGAAAGACUCAGUCUGCCAUUGAUGGCUUUGAAGUUAGAGGAAGGGAGCCAUGAGUCAAGAAAUGGAGGGGACCUCUAGAAGGGAACAGUCAGAGAAAUAGAUUACCCUCUAGAGCCUCCAGAAAGAGACACGGCCCUGUCAAUUUAGCUUAGUGAGACCCAUGUCAGGCUUAUGGCCUCCAAAAUGAUAAGAUAAUACAUUUGUAUUGUUUUAUGUCAUUAAGUUUGUAGGAAUUAUUAUGGUAGCAAUAUAAAACUCAUAGAAAUGACUUCUUUCAUUUUGUAUUAUUUUGAGAUGCAUUCAUUUUGUUGCAUGGAUCAUUCUAUUUUAUUGCUGAGUAUCAUUCUAUUGUAUUGACACCAAACUUUGUUUUUCCAAUCACCUGUUGGUGGGCAUUUGGGUCGUUUCCAGUUUUUGGCUAUUGUAAGUGAUGAUUUUAUAAACAUUUAUGUACAAAUCUUUUUGUGGAUAUCUAAAUAUAUGAUUCUGUUUCUCUUGGAUAAAUACCUAAGAUUAGAAUUGCUGAGUCAUAUGGUAAAGGGAUACUUAACUUUUAAAACCUCCCAAACUGUUCUUCAAAAUGGUUGUGCCAUUUUACAUCCCCACCAAUAAUGUAUAAAGGUUCCAGUUUCUCGAAAUAUUUGCCAACACUUGGUAUGGUCAGUCUUUUUGAUUCUAGUCAUUCUAGUGGGUAUAUAAUGAUAUCUCAUUGUAAUUUUAAUUUGCAUUAUCCUAAUGACUGAUGAUGUUGAGCAUGUCUUCAUUUGGUGUUUUUAUUAUUAUUUUUAGCCAUACAUAUAUCUUCUUUAGUGAAAUGCCUAUUGAAAUAUUUUUCCCAUUUUCUUGUUGAGUUAUUUGUCACCUUAUUACUGAGCUUCAAAAGUUCUUUAUGUAUUCUGUUCAAUAGCCAGAUGACCUCACCUUCUAGCAUUCACACCCUUGAGUAGUGCCUUCCUCAUUGCUCCAGGAUUGGUCUGACCAACAGAACCAAACAACAUAUGGCAGAAAUGGUGGUAUAUCACUUCCAAGGUUAGGUUAUAAGAGACUGUGUUUUCCAUCUCAGCUUCUUUUUCUCCCCUGCCAAACCCCUUUGCAUCAUUCAUUCUGGAGAAUCCAGCUGCCGUGUCUUGAGGACAAUCAGAUGGCCUAUAAAGGGCCCCUGGGACAAGGAACUGAGGUAUUUUUCCAACAGCCAACAAGGAACCGAGGCCUGCCAACAACCGUAUGAGUGAGCACGGAAUUGUCUAGCUCCAGAUGACUGUGGCUUUGGCCAACAGCUUGUCUUGAGACACCCUGAGCCAGCACCACUCAGCUAAGCCACUUCCAGAUUCCUGCCCCUCAAAACUGUAUGGCUUGUUGUUUUGAGAUGCUAAGUAUUAAGAGUAAUUCAGCAAUAGAUGACAACUAUAUUCUGGAUACAAGUGUUUAUUAUAUGUAUGAUUUGCAAAUAUAUUUCUCACUUUGUGGUUUGUCUUUCCAUUUUUGAAAUGGGAUCUUUCGAAUACCAUCAGUUUUCAAUUUCGAUGAAGUCAAAUUCGCCAAUUUUUAUUUUGUGAAUCAGGCUUUCAGAAUCAUGUCUAAGAAAUUCUUGCCUAAGGACACACAUUGUUUAUCGGAUGUCUUCUUCUAAAAUGUGGAUAGUUUUAAUUUUUCUACUUAUGUCUCAGAUCCAUGUUUAUUUAAAUUUGUAUAUGAUGUAAAGUAAGCAUCUGAGAUUUUUUGUUUUGGUUUGGUUUGGUUUUUGUUUUGCAUAUAGCAAUCCAUUUGUUCUAACACCACUUGUGGUAAAGAUUAUUGUUUUCCUCUUGAAUUGCCUAGGCAUCUUUGUUAAAAAUCAAUUUACUGUAAAUGUGUGGGUUUUUUACUGGGUUCUUCAUCCAGUUUUAUUGAUCUACAUAUCUAUUAUUAUACUGAUGUCAUACUGCAUUGAUUACUGUAACUUUGUAUUAAAAUUUGAAAUUGCACAGGUCCUCCAACUUCAUGCUUCUUUUUCAAAACGUAAAUUGGAAUCAUGGCUAUUUGUUAUUAACAAACUCUUCUUUCAACAGCAUAAUAAUAUUUUUGAAAUGAAUAAAACAGAUGAAUCAGUUUUGAUAAAAAUUAAGAUAUCCAAAAUGUUUUCAGAGGUUUUUACCAUAGUAAAAAAAAAAUACAAACUUAAAUAACUAUUAUUCACCUAUGGUUUUCUCAAUGGCUACAUUUCAUAAUGUUAGGAC
rnacentral:lncRNA from 1 species